GAACAAGCAAAGCAUGACGUUGUUGCCAAUCAGAUAGAUCUCUCCGUACAUUCUCGGGAGUAUCUCCAUCGUCCUCAUUUGGGAGAGAGAAGUUUCGAAAGGUGUCAAUGGAGAAGGAUUUGAUAAAAUCGACUAAUUGAUCACUGACGCCGUAGAGUAGUUCGUCGUCCGGUUGAGCAGUGACAGUUGUGGUAGUGGUCUUUGUAGUUCUAGAAAGGCUUCGUCGGAACCAUGAAUACACAUCCAUCUAGGCUAACCCUAAUCAAUCUACCACUCGCUCGAUCACUCAUGAUGAAUACUAAUCAACUUCAUUUCCCCGCUCAAAGUUCUCUUCUCUGUAUCUGAAUUUUCAACCGAGUCCCAAACCUCAGAAUUGGC
rnacentral:misc_RNA from 1 species